rnacentral:rRNA from 1 species
AUUGAACGCUGGCGGCAGGCCUAACACAUGCAAGUCGAGCGGAUGAAAGGGGCUUGCUCCUGGAUUCAGCGGCGGACGGGUGAGUAAUGCGCAGGAAUCUACCUAGUAGUGGGGGAUAACGUUUCGAAAGGAACGCUAAUACCGCAUACGUUCUGAGGAAGAAAGCAGGGGAUCGUAAGACCUUGCGCUAUUAGAUGAGCUUGCGUCCGAUUAGCUAGUUGGUGGGGUAAAGGCCUACCAAGGCGACGAUCGGUAACUGGUCUGAGAGGAUGAUCAGUCACACUGGAACUGAGACACGGUCCAGACUCCUACGGGAGGCAGCAGUGGGGAAUAUUGGACAAUGGGGGGCAACCCUGAUCCAGCCAUGCCGCGUGUGUGAAGAAGGCCUUCGGGUUGUAAAGCACUUUAAGACGGGGAGGAAGGGCCUGAUGGCUAAUAUCCAUCGGGAUUGACGUUACCCGCAGAAUAAGCACCGGC